UACGUAGGGGGCAAGCGUUGUCCGGAUUUAUUGGGCGUAAAGAGCGUGUAGGCGGUCAGGUAGGUCCGUUGUGAAAACUCGAGGCUCAACCUCGAGACGUCGGCGGAAACCAUCUGGCUAGAGUCCGGAAGAGGAGAGUGGAAUUCCUGGUGUAGCGGUGAAAUGCGCAGAUAUCAGGAGGAACACCAAUAGCGAAGGCAGCUCGCUGGGACGGUACUGACGCUAAGGCGCGAAAGCGUGGGGAGCGAACAGG
rnacentral:rRNA from 1 species